GGGCCUUUGAUGGCUGCGUUUCUUUGAAAGGAUUUUAAUUCAAAUGUGCACCCACCACGAACUUUGUCUUUUAAGUAUUUGCAUGGGCUUGACCCUUUUUUAACUUGAAUUUCCCCUUUUGCUAGCUUCACCUCUAUAUGCAUAAAAAAAAUAGGUAACCAAAAAGCAGAUGCACGGCAAGAGCAACGACUUACAUUAAAUUUGAGAGAAAUAGUUUGUUAGGAAACAAGACACAAUAUGUGG
rnacentral:lncRNA from 1 species